GGGAUGUCCUCCACCUUUUCAAUCUGAUUUGCUCUUUGCCAUGCAGACCUGUGGAUGAAGAGCCAGAGUCCUCCAAGGUGAAGCUGGACUGAAUAUUUCUGUCCAUAAGACUAUUAGAAUCCCCCAAAGUGGUAUACUGGUGAGGACCUCACCAGCAGCUGCUGUCUCUCCAAUGCAGAGCUUCCUGCCUCCUGCCCAGCCCCUGCUGUCAGAGAUACUUGGUGCCUCCGGUCCUGGAGACUUCCUUGAGUUCUGUGACUCAAAACAACUUCCUUCCCCCGUGGGUAUCAACAGUGAGAGAUCUUCAGAUGCGAUCAGGCACUCCAGUCCUUCCAUCUCCCACAAUGUUGGAGACCUGUGUUCCCUGCUGUAGAAAUCUCUGCCAUUCCCUUUAUCUCUGAAGACCGAUGGACUUGACUGUCAGCUUAGCAUGGUUUCAGGAGGGAAGGAAGAUGAACCCCUGUGUUUAAGCUGCCGUGUUAAAUGGGAGGCACCUGGUCUUUUUUCUUUUUCUUUUUUAAAGACUGGGUCUCGCUCUGUUAUCCAAGCUGGAGUGCAGUGAUGUGGUCAUGGCUCACCUCAGCCUUGAACGCUCAGGCUCAAGCGAUCCUCCAGCCUCAGCCUCCUGAAUUGCUGGGAUUAUAGCACCUGGCCAAUUUUAAAAUCUUUCUGUAGCGACAGGAUCUCACUAUGUUGCCCAGGCUGGUCUUGAACUCCUGGCCUCAAGGAAUUCUCCCACAACCUCCCAAAGUGCUAAGAUUACAGGCAUGAGCCACGGUGCCCAGCCACCUCUGGUCUUCCCUCAGUUUGCUUUCAUUAAAAGACAAAC